CAAAACACAGUAGUGGUUAAACAACUCUAUGGCCAAAUAAUCUUCCAUUUCUACCCUCUUAUAUUCACAAACAACAAAUUUUAGGUUUUCCCUCCUUUCCUCAUUCAUUUUUCAAAACCUAUUUUAUCUGCCAUAAUAAUGAGACAUGUAAAAUUUACUAAAAUCAACGGUAGCAAUUAAGUACAAUUUAAAUUAAAUUCAAAUUAGCAAUUAAAUUUCCUUUAGCUUGUUUGUGAACAGCAGUAGUUCCCUUUCUUUUUAUAAUUCUCACUUUUACUAUCUCUUUUUCAUUUUAAUCACAUAAAUCAGGUCCUUAUCUUCAGCUCUUCUCUCUAUAUCUACUCACCUAAUAUGAGCCAACUAUCUUGACAAUAUAUAUUCCCAAACUGCUUGGGUCUUCUAUCAAUUGUCUUCUGAACACUUCACUGAUAAUGUGGCAGCUAGCUGGUUCACUAUCAAACUAAAAUCCACCUCACAACCUUUUUCUGUCACUGGAACCCCAUUUAGAUCUGUAAUUUAUAUUCUUUUUGGCUUUUCUGGUAUCACAAAUUUUAAUAGCACAAAAAAUUCCCUUUUUAAUUUAUUCAACAAAUCAGGGUACUUUACAUCCUUAUCAUGCAUGCAGGCCACAUCAUAAUUAAUAAUGCUUAACCGAUUUCUGUUUUGUUAAGCCAACUUGCAAAGACAUUACAUUUAACUGUCCUAAAAUGCUCCGAGUAGUAAAUACAACCAGGUGAUAUGUUGGACAAAAUGCUAACACUACAUUUCGUUGUCAAUUUCUCACUGCAAAAUAGGGAAACUAAACUUCAUGACCUUUAAAGUUAUUUUUAUUAACUUGUCUCUUUAAAUAUCCAAUUGCUGUCACCUCUCACUUAUUAACCAUGACCUAUUCUUUCCAAGUAGUGAAAAUAACACUGAAAAAGUAGCAACAUUUUUUAGGGCUAUGUGCCAUUCUUUUAAGUGAUACACACAUGAACAUUCAUUUAAUCCCUACAACUCUAUGAAGUAGAUACUAUUACUCUCAUUUUACAGAAGUAAAUCAAGGCACAGAAAAGCAUGAAUAAACUACAAAGUCACAUAGCCAGUAAAUGAUUCAUAAGAUUUUAAACUCAGGCAACCCGCCUCCAGAAUUCAUGCUCUUUACAAUCAUACUAAAUUACUUCUUUAAAACAAGCUAUCUUGUUUCUCCAUGAGUCCAACAGAAAUACUGAUCCAUGCAUGUGAGGCUAAUCAAAAUCCAAGAUGUGCUACGCACUCUUUGCCAUGGCAUCAACCUCUAUCAUUAUUCCAUAAACACUCCAUUUUUUGAACAAUUAAAAUAACUGUCCAUACAAAAGAACUUACAACUUUUGUGUAUAUUUUGUAAGAUGUUCCUUACAUGUCUUUUGUACAUCUAUUUUUGUCUUCCCAAGUAGACAGAAACAGUAUCAAACUUGUUUUGCACCCCAUUUACAACAUGGCAAAUAUCAAAAAGAAUUUUCCUAGGAAAUUCUGAUUAUUAAUAAUUUAAGACGCUCCCUGUACACUUUGUGUUAAAAAUCCCAGUAAGAUACCAUCUGCUUCAUUUACAAAAAAGCAGUCAAAGCUUUUCAUACUUUUUUGUUCUAACAGAAAACUUUUAGAGAAAAAAUUUCCACAUUUGGCUGUGCAUCAGAAUCACCCAAACAUCUAUGUAAAAUUAGAUGCUGGGCCCUAUCCCAGACAUUUUGUCAGGUCUGUCUCUAUAAAUUAUGUGUAAGAGUAAGAAGCCCCCAAUUGUCUACAUUUUAAACCACAGAAAAUUUAUGAGCCAGUCCAAAAGCUAGGAUUUGUGAAUUUCUACUGUAGAGUGGGAGAUGCAUCUGAUUUAUCUUGUUUGCUUCACUGGGGUUCAGUAUAGUAAAACCUUAAUAAAUAAUGAAUUCCAUUAGCUAUUUCCUUCAAGUAUGUUUCACAAUCCUACACCAACAAUAUCAUCAUUCCUGCAGGUAACACUACCCUCUCUUAUCUACCAACACCCAAAUGUAAGGUUGUUCUCAAAACCUGUAACUGCAUAUUUAAUAACGUGAUUUUCAUUGCUAAAAAAUCUACAUGUUGUAUGUAUCAAAAAAUCUACAAAUGCAGACUAAUAUUUAUACAUUUUCCUUUGAUGUAUUUGAAUAAACAUCUUAUUUAACUACAGUCUAUGGGUCUAUGCUAUAAAUUUAAAGUUUAGCCUGCAGACUGGAGUCGAAGUCCGUGAGUCAGCCAUAAUGGCAGAUGAAGAAAUUAAUGAAGACUAUCCAGUAGAAAUUCACAAGUAUUUGUCAGCCUUUGAGAAUUCCAUUGGUGCUGUGGAUGAGAUGCUGAACACCAUGAUGUCUGUUUCUAGAAAUGAGUUGUUGCAGAAGUUGGACCCACCUGAACAAUCAAAAGUGGAUUUGGUUUCUGCAUACACAUUAAAUUCAAUAUUUUGGGUUUAUUUGGCAACUCAAGGAACGUCCAGUAAAGCAGGAAUUGGAAAGAAUCAGAGUAUAUAUGAACAGAGUCAAGGAAAUAACAGACAUGAAAAAGGCUGGCAAGCUGGACAAUGGUGCAGCUUUAAGGUUUGUAAAAAAUGCUCUCUGGGAACCAAAACCGAAAAUCGCAUCAAAAGUUGCCAAUAAAGGAAAAAGUAAAAGUUAACUUUUUGAUUUUGAUGUAUGCAUAUUCAAAAAGUACAUCAUUUGUUUCCACAAAAGAAUUCUGUGACAGUGCAAGGUUUAAAUGUGUUUCUUAUUGAAUUUAUAUAUAUAUAUAUAUUUACAGUAAAUUUGUAAAGCUGAAUACUUUCCAAAGAUUGUUAUCUUUAUUGAUUUGCACUAUGAGGAUUUAAACACUGUGAUAUAUUUUAUAUUUAUAAUUUGCCAUCUCUUUUGAUGAGACUCAUUUCUUUAUGUAGGUCAAUCUUGCAAGAACCAUUUUAUAAGCAACUGUGAAAUUUAAGUAAAAUGUUCUUCGUAAACAUUUGUAUUAAUUUAAAUGAAUAAUGACCUUAUGAAGUAUGCUUUCUGUAGACUGAAAUUAUAGGUAUAUCUGUUUUCACUAUAUGACAUUAAGAAAGCAUGAAAUGACCUAAAUGUUCAUUGUUUUCUGUAUAGUUACUUUAUAAUGUUUUCAUGAUCUUAGGAAUUACUGCUUUGUUGAUAUUCAGAGUGUGAAACUAAAACUUUAUAGUUGUACUUUAAUUCUUGGCAUGUUGCCUUAUGUCCCAUUUAAAAUAAAAUACAUUCUCAUUAACUGUAGAUGGGAAAUAAGGUUGUAUGUUGAUGGAUAAAUUUUGGCAUGAUGACUAUACUCUCUCAAUAAAGGUUGAAAGUGUU